rnacentral:rRNA from 1 species
AGAGUUUGAUCCUGGCUCAGGAUGAACGCUAGCUACAGGCUUAACACAUGCAAGUCGAGGGGAAACGACAUUGAAAGCUUGCUUUUGAUGGGCGUCGACCGGCGCACGGGUGAGUAACGCGUAUCCAACCUGCCCACCACUUGGGGAUAACCUUGCGAAAGUAAGACUAAUACCCAAUGAUAUCUCUAGAAGACAUCUGAAAGAGAUUAAAGAUUUAUCGGUGAUGGAUGGGGAUGCGUCUGAUUAGCUUGUUGGCGGGGUAACGGCCCACCAAGGCAACGAUCAGUAGGGGUUCUGAGAGGAAGGUCCCCCACAUUGGAACUGAGACACGGUCCAAACUCCUACGGGAGGCAGCAGUGAGGAAUAUUGGUCAAUGGACGAGAGUCUGAACCAGCCAAGUAGCGUGAAGGAUGACUGCCCUAUGGGUUGUAAACUUCUUUUAUAAAGGAAUAAAGUCGGGUAUGGAUACCCGUUUGCAUGUACUUUAUGAAUAAGGAUCGGCUAACUCCGUGCCAGCAGCCGCGGUAAUACGGAGGAUCCGAGCGUUAUCCGGAUUUAUUGGGUUUAAAGGGAGCGUAGAUGGAUGUUUAAGUCAGUUGUGAAAGUUUGCGGCUCAACCGUAAAAUUGCAGUUGAUACUGGAUAUCUUGAGUGCAGUUGAGGCAGGCGGAAUUCGUGGUGUAGCGGUGAAAUGCUUAGAUAUCACGAAGAACUCCGAUUGCGAAGGCAGCUCACUGGAGCGCAACUGACGCUGAAGCUCGAAAGUGCGGGUAUCGAACAGGAUUAGAUACCCUGGUAGUCCGCACGGUAAACGAUGGAUGCCCGCUGUUGGUCUGAAUAGGUCAGCGGCCAAGCGAAAGCAUUAAGCAUCCCACCUGGGGAGUACGCCGGCAACGGUGAAACUCAAAGGAAUUGACGGGGGCCCGCACAAGCGGAGGAACAUGUGGUUUAA